rnacentral:lncRNA from 10 species
GUGCUUACUGAGAGACAAACAGCAGGUUAAACACUUCACAGAUGGUCUCUCGUUUAAUUCUCAUGACAUUCCUGAUAGGGCAGCCUAUCCUAAUCCCUGACUCAAAGGUUAGGGAAUUUAUCCCAAGUCCACACAGCCCUAAGUGGCACAUCCAAAUCUUGCAUCCAGAGCUGACUGGUAAGCCAGUUUUCUGUGGCUGGAUCUAAAACGUUCCCUGAUUCUGGAAUAACCAUCUUUGGAGGGUUAGUGGGUGGAAGGGGUCUCGGGCCACUCUGUCUCUGAAUAGGAACCACUGCCCUAUUUCAGUAGAGUCCAGGGAGUUAGUUUUCUCAGUAAUAGGGUUGUGAGGUCCAAGAGACUUGUCGAUAGUAUCUAAUGUUAUUUGUGGACCUUUCCCAUUUGAACAGAUUUCCAAUGUUAUUAAGGUAUUCAGGACACAUUACCAGGUUUGACUGCAGACUGCCCUAUGGAACUGAGAAAAUUCUGUAUCUGCUCUGAAAGUGAUGCCAGGGAAGGAAUUUGUACUAUGAAAAUAGAAUUGGGUAGCUUUAGGUCACCUGAGAGUUUUCUUGUAGCCCCCAUAGCUUGUUUUUGUAUGGUUCCAGGAAGGUGGGGCAGCUUUGUGAAGAAAAAUCAAUUAUACCCCAAAGAGGAUUCAGCCUGAGCUUAAGCCACAUCUGCUCUCAUCCCAGCUUCACCCUGUACUCACCCGGGUUGCACUUGCUCCCUACCUGGGUUGCCCAGUAGGACAGCUGCAGAAGGGGCCACUACCAGCUGUGCGCUUACAGAGAAUAUGUGUUUUCCUGCACUGGUGUUCAAAGCUUUC